rnacentral:lncRNA from 1 species
GUUCUUGUACUGGCUUGCUAGCUAAGCCGUAAGGCGAAACGAUUAGGCUUGGUGUUUUUUGGUGACUGGUGAGGCCCUGCUAGUUGCCAAGUGGCUUGAGAGGUUCUAUCUAUGCUUGGCGCGAGGGGAUUUUGUGUGGCCACCGAACGUUGUGGCAGGAUGUUGGCCUCUCUGUGACAGUAACCAGAAAAUAGGAAGGGGAGUGACAG